AAGGUUGUAUGAACCAAUUUUGUGGCUACUAGCUAAUAAAUGUUUGUUUUAUAGACAUUCGUAUGGGCAGCAGAAUCCGUCCUGAGAUCUGUUUUCUUGAUAACUUGACAGUGAGAUUUAGGGGGAAAUGACUAACCCUUGCCUUUAAUGGCUAUUACAGUUUGUGAAAAAGAAGCUAACAAUUAUGCAUGACCAAUUUGACUUGGGUAUGUCUGUAUUCAUGCCACUGGGCAAAGGUCUCUGUCUGUGCCUCUGUUUCCCCACCUGUGAAACAAUGAGGUUGGCCUGUUUCUCUUCCAGCUCUAACAAUCUUAGCUAUAAUUCUCACAGUCAAUAGAUGAGUCAGCAAAUGCACAACGAGCUUCUCCUGUGAGUCAAGUCCUGCCCAGGCUCUGAGGAUACAACUGCAAACAAGAUACACAAGAACGUGAUGGAAGUGAGGUUUGAGUUCUAACCCUAGGAAUCAAAUGCCUUGACUUGUCAUGAGAACAGUUCUGAGCUAGCCUGCUGGAGAGACCACACGAAGUAGAGCCAUGGCUCCUUGCUGACAGCCACCAACUGCCUGACAUGAUCCAUUAAAUAAGUCUGGGAAAUACUGCAGGACUUCUUCAUAGCCUUUAAUGAGAACGGAUGCAGUAUUGUGUGUCUCUAAGAGGAAAGAAGGAUGUGUAGCCUCUCUCAACUGUAUUUGAGGACACAACAUUUUCCCCAGACACCAGCUAUUAACAUCUCAAGGAACUAGCAUAUCUGGAAAUGUACUUCGGGAAAUGCUAUCCCAUGGCACUAGUUCCUAAUUCUUUUGAAGUUGAAAGCAACCUCCUCAAAGUUUUAUGCUCUAUACUUAAGAGGAAAAUUAAAGACAACAGUGAUUAUUUAUGUUUUGUGCUUGACUUUGCAAAUUACACAACUUAUUCUGCAAUGAUUGUCAAACAACCAGACUAGGCUAUGAUCACACCGCUUAGGGUCCUGCAUGGGGUGAUGGGCA
rnacentral:lncRNA from 10 species